GCUUUUCAAAAAUAUUAUCUUUCUGGUAAAAAUUAAAAUUAUUUUUCUGCAAAAUAUUUUCUUAUUGAUGAAUCACAUCUUAAGUAUUCUUGCAGUCAAAAACAUUUGCUUUCAUCCUUAUUUAUUUCUGCAUUAAAUGAAAGCAAGCUGAGAUGUGGGGAAUUGCUUUGACGGAAGGCAUUUUCUGAAAUCUGUGUAUUGCUUAAAUUCCAUUCCAGAUCUGUUUCAGACUUACCCAAAUUGAACGAAACCUGCAAAGUGUUUGAAUUUCACCCAUCACUGCUGUUAAUCCCUCUUUUCUUCCUGUCACAAAAGAAGAAAGGUUUCAUCUGUGUCCCUGGGAGGCAUCAGAAAGAUGAAGCUCCCUCCUUUAUCCCACAUUUAAUUUUUUCGAGAAGAUUCAGCUUCCAGGAUGCUCAGUUACUGCACAGUGAAUCUCCCCCUGCUAAGCAUGGAAAGAUGAGAGGAGUGGUAUCUACAUCAGCAAGCUGUUGGUAUGUGUAAAAGUGAAAAGUGAGGCUGGAAAUCAGAAUUAAAAUCCACUUUGGCCCUGGCUGGUUUGUUGUCACAGAAAUUCAAUGUCACUGUGACCUUACACCAUUAGGAAGAGCUGUAGCACCCCUGAGAAAAGUCACAGCAGCUAUCCCAGGAGAAACUGUUCCAGAGUAGAAUCCCAGAAUCCCAGAAGUGACAUUAAAGAUCAUCUCCUUCCAACCCUCAUGCUAUGGGCAGGGACACUUUUCACAAAAUCAGGUGUCUCGGAGCCCCAUCCAGCCUGGCUUUGAGCACUUUCAAAUACGGCAUGUCCACAGCUUCUCUGGUCUAGGAACCAGCUUGACUUUAGCCAUAUCUGAAGAUUCCCAGGUUUUUCUAUACACCAUUGAGCUGCUGUUUCCAGAGCUCUAAGCUGCCACCUGACACCCAGCAGGAAUGCCAAGACUGUCUUCUCAGUCUGCAUCACAGAGGGAAACUCAGAGUCUUCCCAGGCAAAAACGGUCUUGACAUGACUUCACAGUACAAAAAAGUUCAAAAGGUUUUGUUUUCACUCCAAGGCAGAUCCAAAACACAUUUUGAAACUUUGAAAGUCAUCAUAAAAUGUCACUGUCUUCCUGCCAGCUACAGUCAGCUGGUUGGGCUGCAGAAAAAAAGAGUUGAGUUGCUGUAAAACACCCAAAACAGAGGAGAGCACAAUUUUGUUUACAGUGACCCAAACUUCUAAAACUCUUCUUGAAAUGAAAACCCACUAAGGACUGUUCUCAAUUAAUGGGACAUUUGUGAGCACAACCACACGUAGACAAGCUGGGGCUGGUCCUAGUCCACACUGUAAGGGGGCAGCUGCUUUGAAUUCUGUUUGUUAAAGUGGCUGAAGGC
ensembl:lncRNA